rnacentral:rRNA from 1 species
UACGAAGGUGGCAAGCGUUACUCGGAAUUACUCGGCGUAAAGGGCAGGUAGGUGGUUCGAUAAGUCUGUCGUGAAAGCUCCCGGCUUAACUGGGAGAGGUCAACAGAAACUAUCGGACUUGAGUAUAGGAGAGGGUACUGGAACUCCCGGUGUAGCGGUGAAAUGCGCAGAGAUCGGGAGGAACACCAAUGGCGAAAGCAGGUACCUGGACUAUUACUGACACUCAGCUGCGAAAGCUAGGGGAGCAAACAGG